CAGGUAGUAACAGAGGGUUUGAUCAUGGCUCAGACGGAACGCUGGCAGGAUGCUUUACAUGCAGAUGAACGGCAGCACGGACUUGGUCUGGUGGCGAGUGGCGAACAGGUAGGUAAUGUAUCCGGAACGUGCCUAAAUAGCGGGGAUAACUACGCGAAAGCGUAGCUAAUACCACAUACGCCCUUCCUUCGGGGGAAAGCGGGGACCUUCCGGGCCUCACUAUUAAACGGCCGAUAUCGGAUUAGCUAGUUGGUGGGGUAACGGCUCACCAAGGCGACGAUCAGCCAGCUGGUUUGAGAGGACGACCAACCACACUGGGACGGGACGGCAGACUCCUACGAGGUAGCCAGUGGGGAAUUUUGGACAAUGGAGCGCUGAUCCAGCCAUCCCGCGUGUGCGAUGAAGGCCUUCGGGUUGUAAAGCACUUUUGGCAGGAAAGCGGCACGGGAUAUUACCCCACGGAUACGCUGGCCAAGCGCAUUUGCAGAAUAAGCACCGGCUAACUACGUGCCAGCAGCCGCGAGUAAUACGUAGGGUGCUAGCGUUAAUCGGAAUUACUGGGCGUAAAGCGUGCGCAGGCGGUUCGGAAAAGAUGUGAAAUCCCAGGCUUAACUUUGGAACUGCAUUUUUAACUACCGAGCUAGAGUGUGUCAGAGGAGUGGAAUUCCGCGUGUAGCAGUGAAAUGCGUAGAUAUGCGGGGAACACCGAUGGCGAAGGCAGCCUCCUGGGAUAACCUGACGACUCAUGUGCACGAAAGCGUGGGGGCAAACAGGAUUGAAUGCCUGGUAGUCCCGGCCCACGCCUGAACAGUCAACUAGCUGGUAGGGCCUUCGGGCCUUGGUAGCGCAGCUAACAAAGACGAGGAUUGACCGCCUGGGAAGCCACGGUCGCAAGAUUAAAACUCAAAGGAAUUGACGGGGACCCACAAGCAGGUGAUGUGGUCAGUUCGAUGUAAGAAAAACCUUACCUUCACCUUGACAUGUCUGGAAUCCCGAAGAGAUUUGUGGGAGUGCUCGCAGGAGAGAACCGGAACACAGGUGCUGCAUGGCUGUCGUCAGCUCGUGUCGUGAGAUGUUGGGUCAGAUACCCGCAACAGGCGCAACCCUUGUCAUUAGUUGCUACGAAAGGGCGCUCUAAUGGGACUGCCGGUGACAAACCGGAGAAGGUGCAGGAUGACGUCAAGUCCUCAUGGCCCUUAUGGUGGGGCUUCACGUCAUACAAUGAACAGGACAGAGGGUCGCCAACCCGCGAGGGGAGCAAUCCCAGAAACCCGAUCGUAGUCCGGAUCGCAGUCUGCAACUCGACUGCGUGAAGUCGGAAUCGCUAGUAAUCGCGGAUCAGCAUGUCGCGGUGAAUACGUUCCCGGGUCUUGUACACACCGCCCGUCACACCAUGGGAGUGGGUUUUACCGAAGUAGUUAGCCCAAUAACCGUAAGGAGGGCGAUUACCACGGUAGGAUUCAUGACUGAGGUGAAGUCAUGUCACAGGUAA
rnacentral:rRNA from 1 species